rnacentral:rRNA from 1 species
ACAUCGCCUCUUGAUAAACCUAUAAGAGGUCCAGCCUGCCCAGUGACCCUGUUUAACGGCCGCGGUAUCCUAACCGUGCGAAGGUAGCGUAAUCACUUGUUCUUUAAAUGAGGACUAGUAUGAAUGGCAUCACGAGGGUUAUACUGUCUCCUCCCCCUAAUCAGUGAAACUAAUCUCCUCGUGAAGAAGCGAGAAUAAAUUUAUAAGACGAGAAGACCCUAUGGAGCUUCAAACUUCCAGCAAUUAUCUUUUUUAUAUUAACCUUAAGGUUUUAGUACUAACUUUAAUAAUAUGCCUGUCAGUUUUUGGUUGGGGUGACCGCGGAGUAAAACCUACCCUCCGCAAUGAAUAACCAUUUAAGCAAAAAACUACAAUUUUAUGCAUCAAAAAAUUGACACUAUUGAC